rnacentral:lncRNA from 1 species
UUUUUUUUUUUUUUUUUUUCGCUUUUCAGGGAUGCACUCUUUAAACCCACACUCUUUUAAACACUCUUUAAAAAACACAAAUUUUGCCAUAUCACUUGUCAUCUGAAAAAUGCAAAUUAAAACAAUGAGAUUCCUUUACCCACCUAUUAAAAUGGCCCAAAUCCAGGCUAGGGGUUGAAUGGGAGCUGUAGCUGCCGACCUAUGCAAUGCAAGAUUUGAGCCUCGUCUGCAACCUACACCACAGCUCACGGCAACACCAGAUCCUUAACCCACUGGGUGAGGCCAGGGAUCGAACCUACAUACUCAUGGAUAUUGGUUGGAUUCAUUACCACUGAGCCACAGCAGGAACUCCCUGUUUUCAAUUCCUUCACACAUAUCCAGGGUGGAACUGCUGGGUCCUAUGGCAAUUUUAUGCUUAACUUUUUGAGGAACCCUUCAAAAUAUUUUGAAAAUGUGAACUACUACCAAAAAAAAAAAAAAAAGCCAAAAAGACACUGAAAGCAAAAUGCAAAACUUCAAUGAAAUUAAAGAAGUUAAAAAAAACAAAAAAAGUUUCUCUAUUCUUAUCCCUUCUUUCAUUAGGUUCAAUUUGGGCAGAAAAAAACCCAAACAGUUCACUUGUGCUUAAAAGACCAAGAACACUAGGAAGAGAAAGUUACAUAUGCAAUCCUACCAAAUAAUUAACAAAGACUGCCGUGUCUCCACAAUAUUUUUAACAACAAAAUCACCUCUAAGCCAGAGGUCUGUCAAAACCACCUGGCUGGCUCUAGACUUUUGAACCAAAGAAAACAGCUGAGAGGACCCAGUGCAGGCCCUAAACUGGGAGGCUUUCUGUUAUCAGUAAAGACUGGAUGCUCUGCUCUGGCUCCAUUUGCAAUAAAACCAUUUUUCUCUUUGGAAAGACACAGCCCUCAGUGGGGGAAAAAAAAACAAAAAACAAAAAAAAACAAACACUCUUUAAAAAAAAUAAAUCUUGCCAUACCACUUGUCAUCUGAAAAAUGCAAAUUAAAACAAUGAGAUUCCUUUACCCACCUAUUAAAAUGGCCCAAAUCCAGGACAUUGACAGUAACACCAAAUGCCAGCAAGGAUGUGGGGCACCAGGAACCUCAUUCAUUGCAGGUGGGGAGGUGGAGGACCGAGGACAGCUUGGGGGUCCUUACAAAACUAAACAUACUCUUACCAUCAAUCCAGCAAUCACCCUCCUUGGUGUUCACCCAAAAGAUGUGAAUGCUUAUGUCCACACAAAACCUGCACUUGGAUGUUUAUAACAACUUUAUUGACAACUGCCCAAACUUGGAAGCAAUCAAGAGCAAUAAACUGUGGUACAUCCAGACAAUGGGAAUAACUCAGCGCUGAAAAGAAAUGAGCUACCAAACCAUGAAAAGACAUGGAGGAACUCCGAAUGUCUAUUGCUCAAUGAAAGAAAUCAAUCUGAAAAGGCUACAUCCUGUAUGAUUCCCACUAUAAGAUACAGAGGAAAAGGCAAAACUAUGCAGACAGUAAAAAGAUCAGUGGUUGCCAGGGGUUCGUGGGGCAAGAAGGAUGAACAGGCAGAGCACAGAGGAUUUUCAGGGCAGUGAAAAUACUCUGUAUGAUACCAGAAUGAUGGACGCAUGUCACUAGCAUCUGUCCAAACCCAGAGGAUGGACAACACCAAGUGUGGAUCCUAAGGUAAACUGUGGACUCUGGCAAUCACGAUGUGUCAAGGUAGCUUCACUGACCGUAACUGUACCACUGUGGUGGUGGGGGGGGGGUGUGCAGUAGAUAAUGAGGAAGGUUUAUGCACGUGGUGGGGGCAGGUAAGAAGAAUUCGGGAAAUCUCUGCACUUUCCGCUCAAUAUUGCUGCAAACCAGAAACUGCUCUAAAAAAGUAAUGUCUUCAUUAAAAUAAUUUUCUGUCCAUCCCUUAAAAUGGUAUUUCGAAUCAGUUCUAAACCAUGAGCGCUACUUUGGGAAUGACGUGCUAGAAACGUAGUCUGGGACCAAGGGAGAGAGAAGCGAGCGUGAGAAGCAGCCCAGGGUGCACACGAAGCCUCUCUCUGCAUCUGCUUCCAGCAGCUUUUAAGGGGCUGAUAAUCACCAAUGAGUUUAGCUGGGAGGACAGUGGCAAGACGGGAAUGCAGAGGGAGUGGACCAGAAGAGGACAUAUCGACACCUUUAAAUUAAGUGAAGAAGAAAACAGCUCUCUGAAGGACACAGUAAACGAACUACAAAUGACAAAACUGACUUCUGAUACCAGCAAGACACCGACAUGACAGGGACGGCUGGCAAGUCAGGAAACAGGCAGGCGCGCUGGCAGCAUUCACCGGGCAGGUGUUCAAUUAGGCAGGAAGUGGAUUGACAACAACUCAAUUAAUUCACUGUGCACGCCUGUCCCCGAGAACACAAAGAUACACCUGAAAUACCAGCGGCAGGCCAGAGCUGAACUCCAUGGGCCCAUUUUUGGCAAAAGUGGGGGCUAGCAAAGAUGCAAGAACAAAAGAUAAAAUUAUACUUAGAUUAGCUCUGGGAAGCCCUUUAAAACCAAGGCCAGAAAGGAAACAAAAUGAGAAGGUAGCUUACUAUGAAUCAGAUGUCAUUCCUUUCCCAUGAGUGGCUCCCCCUGGUUGCUUCAGAUACAGGUACCCUGGUGCAUGGGACUGGGGAACGUGAUAAAGACAAGCAGACAUGACUUAAAAACCAACAGCAAAGUGAUGGGAUCACCCCUACUGGUAACAUCCCCUGUGUGCGAGGCUCUGCCAAGCCGAGACUUAAACUCCAGCACACCAGGUAUACCUAUGGUCUGAAUACACUGCAAAGAACAUAGAAAAACAUGAGGAGUCACAGGUGAGGCAAAGGUAAAUACGUUGAGAACAUAAAAUCAAGGAAAGAAAAACAAAGGUUAUCAUAUCAGGACCAACAUCUGGCAGAAGAUACAAGCGCUUAACAGAAAGUGGGACCUCACCCUCCUGGCAGCCAGCAUCACAUCCGUCAAGCCCAACAAAGAAUAAAAUGCUUGAUAUGCAAGGUGAAGGACUACAGCUUGGAGUGUGAAGCAUCUGUACCACUCCUUUGCUUUAGGGAAAAUAAUACUGAGGUUCAGAGAGGUUGCACAACAUAUCUGGGACCACCAAGUGUUAACAACGGCAAAGCCAAGACUAUACUCCUGGUCUUCUGGGAGGCCUUCCACUAACAAUACUGAUGAUGAUGUUGAUGAUGAUGGUGGUGGUGGUGAUGAUGAUGUGAUGAUGGUGAUAAUGAUGAUGAUGUGGUGAUGGUGAUGUGAUGAUGAUGAUGAUGUGAUGAUGAUGAUGAUGAUGAUGUGGUGAUGGUGGUGAUGGAUGAUGUGAUGAUGCUGAUGAUGAUGGUGACAGUGAUGGUGAUGAUAAUGAUGUGAUGAUGAUGGUGAUGAUGAUGAUGUGGUGAUGUGGUGAUGAUGAUGGUGAUGUGAUGAUGGUGAUGUGAUGAUGAUGGUGAUGUGAUGAUGAUGUGGUGAUGAUGAUGAUGAUGUGAUGUGAUGAUGGUGAUGACGAUGAUGUGAUGAUGGUGGUGAUGAUGAUGAUGUGAUGAUGAUGAUGUGAUGAUGGUGACGAUGAUGUGAUGAUGAUGGUGAUGUGAUGAUGAUGAUGAUGGUGACAGUGAUGGUGAUGAUGAUGGCGAUAGCAUCCAUGUGCUGAAGACUUUACAUAUAUUACCCCACUCAAUCCUCAACAAACUACAAGGUAGUAGUACUAUGACUAACCCAUUUCACAGGUGAGGGCAGAGAGAUUAAAUUACUUGCCCAAAGUCACACAGCUUGUUAGAGUCAGAGGCAGAUGUGUGACAACAUGGAUGAAGCUGUAAGGCAUUAUGCUAAGUGAAAUAAGCCGGACACAGAAAAAACAGUGUACAAUCUCACUUAUAUGUGGACUCUAAGAAUGUCAAACGCAUAGAAAAGGAGAGAACAGAGCAGUGGUUGCAGGGGAGGGGGAAGCCGGGGAGACAGCGGUCAGAGAGGAGAGCGUUCCGUUGGAAGAUGAGUAAGUUCAGGGAUGUUAGGUACCACGUGGUGACGACAGUUAACAAUAGCGUAUUCCAGGUUUGAAAUUUGCUGAGAGUAGAUCUUAAGUGUUCUCACCACACACACAAAAAAGUAGCAACUCUGUGAGGUGACAGAUAGGUUAAUUUACUUGAUCGUGAUGAUCAUUUCACAAUGUAUAUGUAAACCGAAUCACCCCAUUGCUUUCCUUAAAAACAUACCCUCUUUAUUUGUUGACUAUGCCUCAAUAAAGCUGGAAAAAAUAAAUAAGAGGAAAAAGAAAGCAGCACAGGCAGGAUGGAAACCUGGGUCUAGCUGAAAUCCAUGUUCUUAACCCUCACGCCUGACGCUUCCAAGCAAGGGAGGAAGUCACAUUCACAACUGUUCUG